rnacentral:lncRNA from 1 species
CUACCUAAAAGUUUAAGUUUUAUUUUUGCAGUUUUGAGUUCAAUACUUAGUUUUUAAUAUAACUGAGAGUCUAAAAACUUUUAAAAAAUUAUUUUUCUGAGGAAAAUCUCAGUCCUGCCCACAGAUACCUUUAUUUAUAAGUUACCUUGUCUUUGGAGGGGCCUCCGCCUUCACAGAGGGAUUGCAUUCUUGGUCUCAGAUCAGCUGACUGUUACGGCAUCUGCACUAACUGGCAACAUAGAAUGUUUACACUGCAGUUGAGGUGAUCAGGGAAGCCUCUGAAGACGCGACCCUCGAACUGAGACCGAGUGAUACGAAGGAGCCAGCUGUGUGAAGAUCUGGGCAGCACAUUCUGGGCAGAGGGACUAGCAAGUGCCAGGGCCCUUAGGAGGGAAAAGGUGUGGUGUGACUAAGGAACAGAAAGAGGGCAGAGGGGCUGGAGGAGGUGAGCAGAGGGGAGAUGGGUAGAAGAUGAGGUCAGAGAGGUGGUCCGGGGCCACAUCACUCACAGCCAUGGGGCCCAUAGUAAGGAGUCGGGAAGCAACUGGAGCAGGCGGGGGUGCUUUAAGCAGAGGCGGGACGUACUGUUGUCUUGAGAAAGAUCACUGUGGAGAAUGGAAUGUAGAGGAGCAGAAGAAGCAGAGACGGAGAGCGUAGAGGAGAGAGAACUGUGAAGGGGCUCGGACAAUAGACCAGGUGAUGGUAGCCAGGACAAGAGAGGUAGCCAUAGCCUUCUUAGACCUGGCAAGAGGAUCCCCUGCCCUGGGCCCUGCCCUUUGGAGGGUCCUGCUCUGGCCCUUCUCCGGCUACACCCUUCCGCUUGGGACGUCUGAGAGGCCAAGGAGUCAUGCUGGGAGGUCAUUGUAAUCCUUAGGUGUCUGUGUUUUCUAACCUAUAAGUUGAUGUGCUCCUGGAGGCCUCACUGUCUCUGUAGUGUGUACUGGGGAAGGGUCAAAGGUAAGGCACUUGCCCACGUCCCUCCAGGGCAGUAAAUGAGAAAGAAGGAAACUGAUGAGCUUCAGGCAUCACAAAACCACUGUUGAUCUUUCCUCUGGCUAAGUGUCCCCUUUACAUCCUUUGGGAGAAGCAGCACUAAGAGAAGGAAGUCUCCUUAGGUUGUAGUCCACCAGCCCUGGGAGCCGAAGGGGCAGAGGAACAAAUGCUUGAGGGCAGCUGGUCAGAGCACAGCUGUUUGCAGCUCCUCACCCCAGC